GCCGCCGCCGCUCGCUCCGCGCUCCCCCUCUGCCGUGCUUGGGAGAAGCUGUGUGCGAGCACGUGGUGUGAGCUUGCAGGCCAUGAGGAGCCUGUCCGUGUCUGCAGGCGUGUGCAAGCAGCUGUAGAAGUCUGUCCCGGUCUGCAGAUGUCUGCAGGGGUCUUCUAAAAGGUCUGGAGGCUUUUCUGAGUCUGCAGAGCUGUGCGGGGGUCUGGAGGGCUCCCUGGAAGUCUCUGGAGUUCUCUGGGUGUCUGGAGGUCGUUAGGGGUUUUUAGAGGUGUCUGUGGUGCUGCAGGUGUCUCAAAAGGCUGUAAAGGUCUUGAAGUGCCUUGCAAAGGUCUCGAGGUGUCUGUAGAGGUCUUUAGAGGUCUGCAGGGGCCUCUUAAAGAUAUGUAGGAGUCUGCAGGGGUCUAUUGACAGGUUGGGUGGGGUCCCUAGAGCUCUCUAGGAGACUGGAGUGGUCUGUAGGUUUCUGUAGGGGUUUACAAGUUUCUGUAGCAUUCAGUAGGUGUCUGGAGGUUUCUGUUAGGGGUCCACAGGUGUGUGCAGGCAUCAUUUAAGGCUCUGGAGGGGUCUAUAGAUGUGUGCAGGGGUCUGUUAAAUAUCUGGAGGGGUCUGAAGGGGACUGGGGAGCUCUGUAGGGGUCUGUAUGUGUUUGCAGGCAGCUGCAGGGGUCCGUAGAUGCCUGUAGGGAUUUGCAGGGGUCUUAGUUGUCUGCAGGGGUGGGUCGAGGUUUUAAAUCGUUGCUGUAAAUAGCAUUUAUGGCUUUAGAAGCCUCCUUGCAAUUAUAAUUUAGAUUGUGGGAAAUUUUAUUUUUUGUUAAAAUAGAAAGUAUUUACCCAUGUUUAUUAAAUUUAUUUUGUAGGAUGUUGUGGGUGUUCUUUUCUCUUUUACAGAGAAUGAAGAUUAUGGAGGGGAAACUGAGGUGACUUCAGAGCAGAGAAGUGAUAUUUUGGAGGAAAAAGCUGAACAGGUCUAUUGGGAAGGAAGCAAAAACUCUGGAGGAAAAAUCUGAGGAUGUUGUGGGUGUUCUUUUCUCUUUUACAGAGAAUGAAGAUUAUGGAGGGGAAACUGAGGUGACUUCAGAGCAGAGAAGUGAUAUUUUGGAGGAAAAAGCUGAACAGGUCUAUUGGGAAGGAAGCAAAAACUCUGGAGGAAAAAUCUGAGGAUGUUGUGGGUGUUCUUUUCUCUUUUACAGAGAAUGAAGAUUAUGGAGGGGAAACUGAGGUGACUUCAGAGCAGAGAAGUGAUAUUUUGGAGGAAAAAGCUGAACAGGUCUAUUGGGAAGGAAGCAAAAACUCUGGAGGAAAAAUCUGAGGUAAACAAGAGGACACAAGUGACAUUUUAUAGGGGAAAAAAGUGAGUUAGUCUCUAGGGGAUAAAAAUGAAGACUGUAGGAGGGAAAAGCUGAGGUGAUUGGGUGGAACAGAGCUGACAUGAUGCAUGAAAAAACUUAGGGUAACCCAUAGGGGAGACCAUGACCAUUUUGGAGAGAAAUCCUGAGGUAGGUGAGGGUAUGUGGGUAACAUAUUAAAAGAGAGACCUAAGGUAGUGUCUGUGAAACAAGAUACUCUUGUGUCACCAGAGUUAUAGUCAGAGGCGAGUCCCUUUGGCCAGAGUACCUUGCUCACCUCCCAU